GUGCAUGUAUGUGUAUAUAUAUAUAUACACAUACAUAUAUAUACACAUACAUGCACACACAUGUGUAUGUUUGUGUGUGUGUGUGUGUAUAUAUAUAUAUAUAUAUAUACACACACACACAAACAAAUAUUCAUGCACACACAUAUCAUAUAUAAAACUUAAACAUGCACUAUUGGGUGCAUAUUCUAAAAAUAGAAAUUGCAAAGGGACACAGUUGAACUUUUAAGUCUGGAGUUUUCUUUCUAUUCUCUUGUGAACCACCUUGAAUAUCCUCACCCUGCAGUUCACAUAUACCACUUCAAAGACUCCUGAUGGUACAGUAUUCUCAGCUCUAAGAUGUUGUAAAGAUAGGGUGGACAAAAGAAAUUGUCAAGCAUCUAAAUGCACAUGGAACCAUUCAGAAAAGUAAAUCUGGAGGAGUCAAGGAUCUGUCUAGUACAGAAGACUUGUUGGUACCUAUUUGGUCAUUUUUUGAGAUUUGGUUCUAAAGUUAUUCCUGCAUGAAACUUCUGGCAUUUCCAAGUAAAAUGAUAACUGCCUUUCUUAGAUUCCCCUAUCUCUAUACAAAUGUCUAGCAUAAUAUUUACAAUAUUUGAUUACAUUUAUUGGUUUCAGUGUCUCUCUCAUGUUUUAACCACCAACCUCUCAAAAUGCAGGGAUCACAUAAUAUUCUUCAUUAAUUUCCUGGUACUUCUCAUGCAGUAAGUGCUUAGUAAAUACUCAUAAGUGAAUUAGUUGACAAGACUAUAUACUAAUAGAGUGCAUAAAGAUCAGGAUGUCCCAGAAAUAUAUAGAACAAGAGGAAAAUGCCAUGAGACAUUAACUAGAGCCUCUUCCGCGUAUAAUUAAUUAGAUUGUAAUGUCUGACUUGUUUGCAGCAAAUUUCACAAAAUUUCCCAGUGAAUCCUCCAGCUAAUUCAACGGAAUUCAUGGUUGCUUCACUCCUUCACACAGCUCCUCAUCUGCUCUGCAGAGCAGGGGAGUUAGCCCUGGGUUGGGAUGUUUAUGUGCUCACUAAUCAUACAUUUGUUUUCCCUCUAAGCUCAGUCCUGCCUGCCAAGAUCAGUUCAAGAUGACAAUCAUUUUCAUGCUUUCUGUCAAACAAAGGCUCCAGGAGGACAUGGAAGAAGGGAACAAAAUCAGAAGUUUAACAUCAACAAUUACAAGGAAAAAGAUGGGGGAAAAAGUUUAAAACAUGUUCCCCAUUUUUGGCUAUUCUCUCUCAGCAUUUUAGUGCCUCAGCUCAUGUAUCAUUGCUUGGCACAUUGAGGAUGGGUUGGGGUGUGGGGUGGAUUCUUAG
rnacentral:lncRNA from 1 species